rnacentral:rRNA from 1 species
GCAAGUUCGCACGGGCGGGGGGCAACUCCGUCAGUGGCGGACGGGUGAGUAACGCGUAGGAAUCUAUCCUUGAAUGGGGGACAACCGUGGGAAACUACGGCUAAUACCGCAUGAUGCCUGAGGGCCAAAGACGAAAAGUCGUUUGAGGAGGAGCCUGCGUCUGAUUAGGUAGUUGGUGGGGUAAAGGCCCUACCAAGCCUACGAUCAGUAGCUGGUCUGAGAGGAUGAUCAGCCACAUUGGGACUGAGACACGGCCCAAACUCCUACGGGAGGCAGCAGUGGGGAAUAUUGGACAAUGGGCGCAAGCCUAAUCCAGCAAUGCCGCGUGGGUGAAGAAGGUCUUCGGAUUAGUAAAGUCCUUUGGCGGGGACGAUGAUGACGGUACCCGCAGAAUAAGCUCCGGCUAACUUCGUG